UACGUAGGGGGCUAGCGUUGUCCGGAAUCAUUGGGCGUAAAGAGCGUGUAGGCGGUCCGCUAAGUCCGCUGUGAAAGUCGGGGGCUCAACCCUCGAAUGCCGGUGGAUACUGUCGGGCUAGAGUGCGGAAGAGGCGAGUGGAAUUCCUGGUGUAGCGGUGAAAUGCGCAGAUAUCAGGAGGAACACCUAUUGCGAAGGCAGCUCGCUGGGACGUAACUGACGCUGAGACGCGAAAGCGUGGGGAGCAAACAGG
rnacentral:rRNA from 1 species